rnacentral:rRNA from 1 species
CCUACGGGUGGCAGCAGUAGGGAAUUUUCGGCAAUGGGGGGAACCCUGACCGAGCAACGCCGCGUGAAGGAAGAAGGAAUUCGUUCUGUAAACUUCUGUUAUAAAGGAAGAAAGACGGAUGGAGGAAAUGACAUCCGAGUGACGGUACUUUAUAAGAAAGCCAAGGCUAACUACGUGCCAGCAGCCGCGGUAAUACGUAGGUGGCAUGCGUUAUCCGGAAUUAUUGGACGAAAAGAGGGAGCAGGCGGCAGCAAAGGUCUGGGGUGAAAGACUGAAGCUAAACUUCAGUAAGCCAUAGACACCGGGCAGCUAGAGUGCAGGAGAGGAACGUGGAAUUCGAGGUGUAGCGGUGAAAUGCGUAGAUAUAAGGAGGAACACCAGUGGCGAAGGCGACGAUCUGGCCUGCAACUGACGCUCAGUCCCGAAAGCGUGGGGAGCAAAUAGGAUUAGAUACCCGAGUAGUC